ACCAAUAUAAUAGGCAAUAUAUUUGGUAAUAGGCUAUGCUUGAGAUAUUAAAAUUUUCCCUCCCUCCCACCACCCGCCAAAAACUUUUUGGCGGGUUAAUUAGAAUAUUAGUGUCGUCUGCUGCUUUCGUUUUUCGUUAGAGUUUUCAGUUUCGAAAAAGCAGCAAAGAGAAAAGAAGCAUGGACGUAGACAAAGUUUCAGAGUUUUAUAUUAUAGAAAACUGAACGGAUCACUGGUUUUGGAAAAAAAACUUGUACGUGGCUGCAAUAGAAAUAGGUAAAUAGCAGAACAAAAUAAAAUGUGGUCUUCGUGUGAAAUUUGGUGUCAUGACUCACUAUGCUUUCCUCUCCAUGCUGUUUCUCAGGCAUAUGAAUAGAAUGAUUUUGGGAGCUUAUACAGAAGAGUUAAACCACUGUUCCAAAUUUGUCUAAUGUUGGUGCCUGACUACAGUGACUAGUAUUUAUCAUGUCUGAGCCAGCCAUCGUAACCACCAAGAUGUGCAAGUUUUGAUACUAACCUGUCAUCACCAACAAUCUCAGCAUCAUCAAUUGGAUAAACAGCUCCUAGUGUAAUUGGAAAAAAUAUGUCCUCGUGUACACCCAUGUGAGUGUGGGGGUAUUCACGAAGGCCCCUUUUCCUAUCCUGCUGCCUGGCGUCAACGUCAACUUUACUGAGGAUUGGUACUUAUGGAUGCCUGGCUGUGGAUUUCCCGGGCAUAAAGGUAGGAGAAAUUCUCUCUAUCCUUUUCUUUUGCUGCGUUGGUUU